rnacentral:snoRNA from 1 species
AGAGCCAAUAAGUAGGGUCUAUCAUGAACCAAGGAUUAAGAUUUAUCCAAUUCUGUGCACCUGAGGUCCAAA